rnacentral:hammerhead_ribozyme from 1 species
CAAUGCUGAUGAGAGCCAACCAGGUCGAAACAGCUGUCCAGUGC